rfam:Oryza nivara chromosome 6, whole genome shotgun sequence.
AAAAAGACAAACCUGAUUUCCGUGUCUAAUAUUUGACCAUCCGUUUUAUUUAAAAAAAAUAUGAAAAAAAUUAAAAAGACAAGUCACGUAUAAAAUAUUAAUUAUGUUUUAUCAUCUAACAACAAUGAAAAUACAAAUUAUAAAAAAAUUUCAUAUAAGAUGGACAGUUAAAAUUAGACAUGGAAACGCAGGGUUUGAUUUUUU